CGAAAGACUGACGCAGCGACGCCGCGUGCGGGAGGAAGCCCUUCGGGGUGUAAACCGCUGUUACUCGGGACGAACUUCUCGAUUCAUCGAGAUUGACGGUACCGGGGGAGGAAGCACCGGCUAACUCUGUGCCAGCAGCCGCGGUAAUACAGAGGGUGCGAGCGUUGUCCGGAAUCACUGGGCGUAAAGGGCGCGUAGGCGGCUUUUCAAGCGUGCGGUGAAAGCUCGGGGCUUAACUCCGAGUCUGCCGUGCGAACUGGGAGGCUUGAGUCUGGUAGAGGUCGAUGGAAUUCCGGGUGUAGCGGUGGAAUGCGUAGAGAUCCGGAAGAACACCGGUGGCGAAGGCGGUCGACUGGGCCAGAACUGACGCUGAGGCGCGACAGCGUGGGGAGCAAACAGGAUUAGAUACCCUGGUAGUCCACGCCGUAAACGAUGGGCACUAGGUCCUUGGGGGAGCGACCCCCUGAGGGCCGGCGCUAACGCAUUAAGUAUCCCGCCCGGGGAGUACGGUCGCAAGGCUG
rnacentral:rRNA from 1 species